UUGGCAUAAACUGAUUGGUAUAUGGCAAAACUCGAUUAUCCAAUAAUGAUCCCAAAGACCAUUUAUUUAAAUCCAUGCCACUGCCAGUGAGUAAACUGGAAGGUAAGAGUCCAGAAGACCCAACUCGCAACCAUCUCUGGCUUGACUUACAGAGCAAUAAGCCAUCUCAUCUCAACUCAAGACCACAGCAGCAGCAGCACACCCUUUACUGUUCUUUGUCUUUUAAUGAUGCCACCAUCAUCUCCGGAAUCAACGCGCACGUUAGCGAAAGGAUAAAAACGUAAUCUUUCUCUCUCUCUUUUCUCUAUCCUAUGAAAUGCUCAUUCUUCAAGUGCCCAAAUAAGCAUCCUUUGUUUGUCCAAAUCUUUAUGUAAAUAGACGCCAAAUCCACCCCUCUCUAUAUCUCCGUCACUGGGUUUGGUUUAGGUCACCAAUUUCCUUAUAGAAAAAUCAAUCUUUGAAUUGAUCAGAGAGAGAAAAGUUAUGGGCGGAGAAGGAGGAGCAGAGCCACAGUAUGUGACGGCAAAGAUUUCAGUUUGGUGGGAUAUAGAAAAUUGUCAAGUGCCAAGAGACUGUGACCCACAUGCCAUAGCUCAAAAUAUAAGCUCUGCUUUGGUCAAGAUGAAUUAUUGUGGACCAGUAUCUAUUUCUGCUUACGGAGAUACUAAUCGGAUUAAUUCAGCUGUACAGCAAGCUCUUUCUAGUACUGGCAUCGCACUUAAUCAUGUUCCAGCUGGUGUUAAAGAUGCGAGUGACAAGAAGAUUCUUGUGGAUAUGUUGUUCUGGGCAGUGGACAAUCCUGCACCUGCUAAUUAUUUGUUAAUCUCUGGUGAUAGAGACUUCUCUAAUGCUCUCCAUCAAUUGCGGAUGAGGAGAUACAAUAUUCUUUUAGCACAGCCCCAACGAGCAUCUGCACCCCUCCUUGCAGCUGCUAGGAGUGUAUGGCUUUGGACGAGUCUUGUCGCUGGAGGACCGCCAGUGAGAGAGGUUGAAUCACUGCCACUUGGUAAUAUUAGUUAUACAUCCACUUCAGACACAUUACAUAUUCCUGUUACUGACACUGUUCACUUAAAGCAACCAUCAGAUUCCUAUUCUGAGAAUCCCCAUAUGGGAAAUCAGAGAACUACUUACAUAACUAAACAAAAAGGGAAAACCAAUCGAAGAAACUUAAACCAAACAAAUGGAUCAAAAACGUCAAAUGCGCCUGUUUGGGCUCAAGAAGAUCAGCCAAAUUCAAACUCCUAUCAACCUGGUCCUUAUGUCCCAAAAGUUACUGUAAGUGGGCCUUCUCCGAAUUUCAAUCCUGGAAGUCCUAACUUUACUUGGAGUGAUGUCACUAAUGUUCGUGACAACCAUCAAAGUCACUUUACACAGCCAUUAAGGCCAAAUGCCUCAGCUAUGCAACCUGAUUUUGCAGCUGGUAACAUGUAUCCUCCUAAUUUUCAAAUCCAUGCUCCUCUAAUGCCUCCUAGGCCCAACGGAACUACCUUCACCUCAGAGCCUCCUACAAAUGUGCCUGACAUUGGCAACUUGCACAUUUCUGGAUACCCUACCAGCUUUCACAAUCCUCCAAAUGCUCAAAGAAGAAAUGGAGAGCAAAAACAUGAUGCAAAGAGAAAAGCUCCAAAGUCUGUAAAUUUAAAUAAUUCUCAAAAUGGAUAUACGACGCAGAACAACCCAUCAGGAUAUCAUGAGACAGUGAAUAAUAGAUACCCUGGUGGUUCAGAAUAUCCACCAUCAUCUUCAUCAGCAACAGCUACUGAAGUUGCUCCUGUUAAUGUUAUAUGGGGAAUGCCAGGAUGCCCAAAACCUUCAGAAUAUGUCCAAGGCCUUAUAGGAGUUAUCUUACUUGCCUUGAACACUCUUAAAAGUGAAAAGAUUAUGCCAACUGAAGCAAAUAUAGCUGAUUGCAUUAGAUAUGGAGAUCCCAAACAUCGCAAUACUGACAUCAAAAAGGCCCUUGAGAGCGCUAUUGAGCAGCAGAUGGUCAUGAAGCAAAACCUAGGAGCUGUGCAAUUGUACGUUGGUAAGAAUGAGAAACUGUGGAGAUGUGUUAACCCUAUAGGUGGUAGUCUGAAAGAAUAUCCAAAAGCAACAUGGGAUGAAAUUCAGAAAUUUCUUGCAUCCUCUGCAGGACGAUCUGCAAUCAUGUCUUCUCAGUGCAGGUAUGAAGCAGCUACUAUCAUAAAGAGUAUGUGCUUGAAAGAACUUGCUUUGGGUAAUAUACUUCAGAUCUUAAACAUGGUAAUUGCCUUAAAGAAAUGGAUUAUACAUCAUCAAUCAGGAUGGCAACCACUUACCAUUACUCUUGCAGAGGCCAAUUGUAAUUUAGGGUCUGCAGCUGGGACAUAGGUUCAAUUUAUGGUACAAGGGAAAGGGCUUGGUAGAUAGUUAAGGGCACUAAACAAAGUUAUCAUAGGUUAAGAGUGCUUAAAAUAGCAAAAGCUCUUUUUCUUUAGAUAUGGAGAGGUGGUGGUAAUAGAGAGACUUUUAUGGUGGUAUGAUAAGCGCAUUGGAAUAGCUGAUCUUACUUCAAUUUCUCAUCCCUGGUAAAGGUCUUAAGCUUUAUCUUGAGGAAUAUAAUUGAAGAAGUGCUUAAACAAGCUUAAAUUGGAAACUACACAAGACAACUUCUCAGUUUCUGGUUUUUAGUUUAUAUACAUGCUUUUGGCAUCUGAGUUUUACCUUCAAUAUCUAGGUAUUAUGACAGUGGCCUCUAGUUGCGUUUAUGUCCUCUUUUACAUCUUCAUGACUUUACUGGGGUUUUGCAUACUUGUCUGCACAUGUCCACGAUUGUUCCAACCAUCAAUUCCGGUGUUCUGCUUGAUUGCAUGGCUGGGAUGCUUGUGUGCAUGAGCGCAGAAGUGUGCCGAAAUUCACCCUUAUUAAGAUAGACCUGUUACAAGCUCCCAGUUCAAGCCAUCCAGAGAAAAUUGCUGGAAAGAUUUCUAUUCUCCAGCAUAUGGAUUAUAUUAGCUAAUUAAAGACCGCCUUUCUACUUGUUAAACUAGGGGGUAUUAAUUUAUUAUUUAUUACCUCAAAUCAUACAUAAGUUACUGCCCUAAAUUACUGAACCAAACUAUACUUGAUGGGAGGAUUUGAAAUUGGUUCAAGUCAAGAGGCGGGAAGCUUGACUAGUUGAUUGAAAAAGAUGCGAGUUGAUCAUUCAAAUUAUCAAGUUACACAUCAAUGACAUAUCACUUAUGUAUCAUAUAAAGUUGGGAACUUUUUGCUGGAAGUCUGGGAGCUCCGACAAAGAUAAUUUUCAAAUGAAAGAAGUGGGAAUGAGAAACUCAACAGAAAAUGAUGUUUUUCACACUCAACAGCAAAGUGUGGACUUAGGUCAAUAAGAAGCCCUUAGCAAAAUGGUGUCGCUCUUCCACCAAAGGCUAUUGAAUGAAAAUCGAUAAUGCAGAUACCUUGUGAGAACAUGAUGCUGAAUUUUUUUGUGACUAGGGUCUUUGCUAUAAUAACGCUAGCUUUCUUUACCAACAUAUAACUUUCUCCGAUGGAAUUUGCCGACAUAUAACUGAAAGUCAGUGAUUCUGAAGCUUUCAGUAGUUGUAUCUUCUGGGUUCUGGCCUUUCUUAUAGAAAACCAUUUCUUAAAGUGGUUUUACGUAUCAUCCAAUAGUGGAAAUUGUUGGUAAACUCAAGCACCCUGUGAGCUGAAUGAAUCUGGUUCAUAAUGUUGUUGGAAACCAUCAAUCUGGUUUCCAACCAACAAAAAUGGCAGAUGAUAGCAAUGGCUCCUUGGUCCCCACCAAUACUUUGAGGUGCUGGCUUUUAUUUGAGUCCUCUCAGUUUUGACCAA